GACGAACGCUGGCGGCGUGCCUAAUACAUGCAAGUCGAGCGGACUUAAAAAGCUUGCUUUUUAAGUUAGCGGUGGACGGGUGAGUAACACGUGGGCAACCUGCCUGUAAGACUGGGAUAACUUCGGGAAACCGGAGCUAAUACCGGAUAAUCCUUUUCUACUCAUGUAGAAAAGCUGAAAGACGGUUUACGCUGUCACUUACAGAUGGGCCCGCGGCGCAUUAGCUAGUUGGUGAGGUAACGGCUCACCAAGGCGACGAUGCGUAGCCGACCUGAGAGGGUGAUCGGCCACACUGGGACUGAGACACGGCCCAGACUCCUACGGGAGGCAGCAGUAGGGAAUCUUCCGCAAUGGACGAAAGUCUGACGGAGCAACGCCGCGUGAGUGAUGAAGGUUUUCGGAUCGUAAAACUCUGUUGUUAGGGAAGAACAAGUACGAGAGUAACUGCUCGUACCUUGACGGUACCUAACCAGAAAGCCACGGCUAACUACGUG
rnacentral:rRNA from 1 species